CCUACGGGCGGCAGCAGUGAGGAAUAUUGGUCAAUGGGCGAGAGCCUGAACCAGCCAAGUCGCGUGAAGGAUGACGGCCCUACGGGUUGUAAACUUCUUUUGUCAGGGAGCAAUUGGGUCCACGCGUGGGCUUAGCGAGAGUAACUGAAGAAAAAGCAUCGGCUAACUCCGUGCCAGCAGCCGCGGUAAUACGGGGGAUGCGAGAGUUAUCCGGAUUUAUUGGGUUUAAAGGGUGCGUAGGCGGAAUUUCAUGUCAGCGGGAAAAAUUCGGGGCUAAACCCCGUCGUGCCGUUGAAACUGAUGUUCUUGAGUGGGCGAGAGGUAGGCGGAAGGCGUGGUGUAGCGGUGAAAUGCAUAGAUAUCACGCAGAACUCCGAUUGCGAAGGCAGCAUACCGGCGCCCAACUGACGCUGAAGCACGAAAGCGUGGGUAUCGAACAGGAUUAGAUACCCGAGUAGUC
rnacentral:rRNA from 1 species